rnacentral:rRNA from 1 species
AGCCCAGAGCCUGAAUCAGUGUGUGUGUUAGUGGAAGCGUCUGGAAAGGCGCGCGAUACAGGGUGACAGCCCCGUACACAAAAAUGCACAUGCUGUGAGCUCGAUGAGUAGGGCGGGACACGUGGUAUCCUGUCUGAAUAUGGGGGGACCAUCCUCCAAGGCUAAAUACUCCUGACUGACCGAUAGUGAACCAGUACCGUGAGGGAAAGGCGAAAAGAACCCCGGCGAGGGGAGUGAAAAAGAACCUGAAACCGUGUACGUACAAGCAGUGGGAGCACAGAGCAAUCUGUGUGACUGCGUACCUUUUGUAUAAUGGGUCAGCGACUUAUAUUCUGUAGCAAGGUUAACCGAAUAGGGGAGCCGAAGGGAAACCGAGUCUUAACUGGGCGUUAAGUUGCAGGGUAUAGACCCGAAACCCGGUGAUCUAGCCAUGGGCAGGUUGAAGGUUGGGUAACACUAACUGGAGGACCGAACCGACUAAUGUUGAAAAAUUAGCGGAUGACUUGUGGCUGGGGGUGAAAGGCCAAUCAAACCGGGAGAUAGCUGGUUCUCCCCGAAAGCUAUUUAGGUAGCGCCUCGUGAAUUCAUCUCCGGGGGUAGAGCACUGUUUCGGCAAGGGGGUCAUCCCGACUUACCAACCCGAUGCAAACU